rnacentral:lncRNA from 1 species
GUGUGGAUAAAAUGCACUUCUGGCGUAUUAAAAUUUUCAACUUGUUGCCUUUUGUUGACUGUUGUUCGUGUGUUUCUUUCUCAAUUGUAUUCUCCAAUUUAUUUAUAUUGUAGUCCUGUGGUGUUGAGUUGUCAUCGUAAUGUUAUAUUUCACAUGACUUUAAAAGGAGAGGUUUGGCAUGCCACAAAAACAGGUUCAACCCGCCAUUUUUUUCUUUAAAAAUGUCCUGUACCAAGUCAGGAAUAUGGCCAUUGUUAUAUUAUAGUUCGUUUCCGUGAGUAUUACAUUUUAACGUUGCGUCGUUUGUUUUCUCUUAUUUUUGAGUGUAAAUUCACAUUGCGAUAAGACGUGUCACGGUACUUGUCUAUCCCAGAUUCAUGUAUUUAGUUUUGAUGUUAUAUUUGUUAUUCUCGUGGGAUUUUGUCUGUUGCUUGGUCCGUUUCUGUGUGUGUUACAUUGUAGUGUUGUUUCGUUGUUCUCCUCUUAUAUUUAAUGCGUUUCCCUCAGUUUUAGUUUGUUACCCCGAUUUUGUUUUUUGUCCAUGGAUUUAUGAGUUUGAACAGCGGUAUACUACUGUUGCCUUUAUUUA